AUGAACGCUAGCUACAGGCUUAACACAUGCAAGUCGAGGGGCAUCAGGAAGAAAGCUUGCUUUCUUUGCUGGCGACCGGCGCACGGGUGAGUAACACGUAUCCAACCUGCCCUUUACUCGGGGAUAGCCUUUCGAAAGAAAGAUUAAUACCCGAUAGUAUAAUGAUUCCGCAUGGUUUGAUUAUUAAAGGAUUCCGGUAAAGGAUGGGGAUGCGUUCCAUUAGGUUGUUGGUGAGGUAACGGCUCACCAAGCCUUCGAUGGAUAGGGGUUCUGAGAGGAAGGUCCCCCACAUUGGAACUGAGACACGGUCCAAACUCCUACGGGAGGCAGCAGUGAGGAAUAUUGGUCAAUGGGCGAUGGCCUGAACCAGCCAAGUAGCGUGAAGGAUGACUGCCCUAUGGGUUGUAAACUUCUUUUAUAUUAGAAUAAAGUGCAGUAUGUAUACUGUUUUGUAUGUAUAAUAUGAAUAAGGAUCGGCUAACUCCGUGCCAGCAGCCGCGGUAAUACGGAGGAUCCGAGCGUUAUCCGGAUUUAUUGGGUUUAAAGGGAGCGUAGGUGGACUGGUAAGUCAGUUGUGAAAGUUUGCGGCUCAACCGUAAAAUUGCAGUUGAUACUGUCAGUCUUGAGUACAGUAGAGGUGGGCGGAAUUCGUGGUGUAGCGGUGAAAUGCUUAGAUAUCACGAAGAACUCCGAUUGCGAAGGCAGCUCACUGGACUGCAACUGACACUGAUGCUCGAAAGUGUGGGUAUCAAACAGGAUUAGAUACCCUGGUAGUCCACACAGUAAACGAUGAAUACUCGCUGUUUGCGAUAUACAGUAAGCGGCCAAGCGAAAGCAUUAAGUAUUCCACCUGGGGAGUACGCCGGCAACGGUGAAACUCAAAGGAAUUGACGGGGGCCCGCACAAGCGGAGGAACAUGUGGUUUAAUUCGAUGAUACGCGAGGAACCUUACCCGGGCUUAAAUUGCAGUGGAAUGAUGUGGAAACAUGUCAGUGAGCAAUCACCGCUGUGAAGGUGCUGCAUGGUUGUCGUCAGCUCGUGCCGUGAGGUGUCGGCUUAAGUGCCAUAACGAGCGCAACCCUUAUCUUUAGUUACUAACAGGUCAUGCUGAGGACUCUGGAGAGACUGCCGUCGUAAGAUGUGAGGAAGGUGGGGAUGACGUCAAAUCAGCACGGCCCUUACGUCCGGGGCUACACACGUGUUACAAUGGGGGGUACAGAAGGCAGCUACCUGGUGACAGGAUGCUAAUCCCAAAAGCCUCUCUCAGUUCGGAUCGAAGUCUGCAACCCGACUUCGUGAAGCUGGAUUCGCUAGUAAUCGCGCAUCAGCCACGGCGCGGUGAAUACGUUCCCGGGCCUUGUACACACCGCCCGUCAAGCCAUGGGAGCCGGGGGUACCUGAAGUACGUAACCGCAAGGAGCGUCCUAGGGUAAAACUGGUGACUGGGGCU
rnacentral:rRNA from 1 species